CACGUAGGGCGCAAGCGUUGUCCGGAAUUAUUGGGCGUAAAGAGCUCGUAGGCGGACUGUCACGUCCGCUGUGAAAAGCUAGGGCUUAACCCUGGCCUUGCAGUGGAUACGGGCAGACUAGAGGUAGGUAGGGGAGAAUGGAAUUCCCGGUGUAGCGGUGAAAUGCGCAGAUAUCGGGAGGAACACCGGUGGCGAAGGCGGUUCUCUGGGCCUUAACUGACGCUGAGGAGCGAAAGCGUGGGGAGCGAACAGG
rnacentral:rRNA from 1 species